AUGCCAAUAGCACCCUCCAAUCAUUGUGACAAUCAGUGUCCCCACAUAUUUUCAAAAGCUCUUGUGGUAAGUGUUGCCCCUUCCCCUCCCCGUGACAAACCUGCCCCUUAUACCUUUACUGAUGUUUCUAGCCUGUGUGGCCUACAAAAAAAGUGUGAAUGGGGAAUUGUUCACAUUAAAAAGAGAUAGGUUUUCAUUUCUGCUUUUUGUAAGCCAUUGCUAA
rnacentral:lncRNA from 1 species